GGUACCCAACAAAGGCGUGUCCCGACAGAGGCUGAACCUUGCAACUGAAAUUGCACAUUAAGUUACAGAAGCUGAGUCAGGAUUCCUGAGGGGACCCUCUGUGGAAGAGCAGGAUGAGCUCUUUGGAACCAUGAGUGUGUCUCCUUCCCAGGGAAGGGGAGGAAAAUGCAGCGCCCCCCCUCCAAAAAAAGAGCUGGAUUCCCAGAGAAGGAAGGAAGCCAGGGCUCAGUGUUUUCUAGGUUAAGUAAGACCUGCUCCAGCUUAGGUCUGGAAACCAUCUAAAGAGGAGAAAGAGAAGGCAAGGCAGGAAGAGUCUCCUAUUUAAAACGCAUGCUUCAUGUUCCAGCCUCAGCACGAGUCCCUUUAGCUGAAACAACAUGGGACUUAUCUCUCCUGAACAAUUAUUCUGACAUCUCUAGAGAAAUGUUCUUUGGUGCUUUACUCCUAAUAUUAAAAAUCUAUGGGAAGAAAAAAAAAGAAUAAAUAUCAUCAUUAAGUCUUUGAUUCUUAAUGAGGACAGUGCCGGCCUCCUAAGAGGUAUUUGGAAAAAGUAUGUUACGAUUGGCAUUUGGGGUUACUGUUGGCAUUCACUGGUGGGGGCUGAGAGGUAGCCCACAUGAUGAAAAAUUUUCCCCACACAUCAAGGACUUGAGAUUUCCUAUCAGACACUUACGUGGGUGCAAAACAUCUGAGCUAAGAAUUCAUCUACACUACAUAUAAACACAAUUUAAUAUGUAAUCACUUUUUUAAAAAAGGAAUAACCACAUAAAUCUGGAGACUUUGGAGCUUUGUUUGGUUUGAAUCUUUACCAUGAGUUGUUGAACAUCUCAGAAAAAGUCAUGAAAUUGAUGACAACCUCACCCAUAGCAUUUAUUUAUUUUUAUUUAUUUAUUUAUUUUGGUACCAGGGAUAGAACUUGGGACCUUGUACUUGCGAGGCAUGCAGCAGAAGCACUGAGCCAAAGCCCCAGCCCUCACCCAUCGCAUUUAAAUCAUGAACAGAACACAUUUAAAUCUGUCUGUGAUAGGAGCUUGGCGUUCCUUGAGUCUACAUAUAAGGGCAAGCAUCUGUUCGCUUCAUCGUUUCAUCUACUAGGUGUGCCCAAGGCAUUUCUAUACCAAAGUGAAUAUUAUUUUAUUAUAAAGAUGCUUCCUUUAUAUCUUCACAUUACCAUUUUAAUCACAUUUUAGACAAAUUAUAUCACUUGUGAAUUUAAUUUCAGCAGUGAAUAGGGGUUGUUCUCCAAUAUUUUUAUAAGAAGGGAGCUGUAUUAGGCAGCUCCAUGGUACUACAGUAAAAUAAUUCCUUCUACAAAGAGAAAAGUUUUAUUUAGCCCAUGGUUGGGGGUUCCAAAGUCCAGGGUCUGGCAGACCCACUGAUUUGACCUCUGGUGGAAAGGAAGGAGAAUAGAUGGAAAGAAAGAAGAAAGGAAAAAAGAAAUCUGCUUCAGAAAAAUGUACACAGAUGAUAUCGAUUAUAUAAAAAUACACACAUUCAAGACAAAGGUGACUGAACCAUAGCAAUCUCAGGGCUUAUGGGCAACCCAAAGUGCCCCCUCUCAGAAGUUCAAGGGCCUUUUGUCAAUGUUUAGUACAGCAAAACACUUAGAACUCAUCAUUUGGUAAAGCAGCUACAACAAUAAUCUGGCUCACUUUUAUAGUCCAGUUUGAGAAGGAUGUUUUCUACACAAAAGAUCAAACUGUACCCAGCCUCACAGUUACUCCCUAGGUCCUCACAGCCUGAGGGACAAAUGACACAUCGCUACGGCACCAGGCUCUGUGCACCCUGCCAGCUGGUCAGUUGGUCUCCAGACCCAGCCCUCUACGGGUCUCCACGCCCCCACACAGCUGUUCAGGGCUCUGCUCCCACAGCUAUAUAUUCCCUGUUGCUGCUGUCCAUCUGAGCUGCUGCUUUGCCUGUGCCCAUAACCUCAUCUCCCUACCAACAUCCUGCCUCUCCCCAGCGUGGCAGAAUGAACAGUCCCACCUCCAAGGAAUGUGCUCUUUCCACCCACUUUGGAUAGCAGAUCCUUUAAAUGAUUGCAGAGACCUGUUUUCCAUAGGAAGCACCCUUCACACGGGCAUCUCAUCAGGAAGGGAACAUACUGAAAAAGCUUUAUUGAAGACCAGUGAUCUUAGGAGUAUUCACACACCUUCACUCUUUCCAUACCUAGACUCAAAAUUUCUGCCUUUCAGGAAUCCAGGGAGGCAACAUUCUGUAUCACUCCUGUAUUUUUGAAUAGUGUAAACCCCAGGAUCCCAAGAACCUGCUCAUCACUACCAAAAUAGUCACAUAAAGAAGACUCCUGGUGUCCACAUGGAUCGGCAAGUGUUACGUGUGGUGGGUGCCUAAGAGCCUGAAUUCUGGUUUCAGACCACCUGGGUUUGAAAGUGACCUUUGUCAUUACCAGAUGCAGAACCUUGAGUUGGUUACUUGGCCUCCCUGGAAUUCAGUUUCCUUAUCUAUAAAAUAAGUGAAUCACAUAAAUUCUCAUAAGAUUAAACUGCAGAGUAUGUGGAGUUCUGACUGACACAGAAACUGUAGGACUUCCAGUGCUCGGACCCAGGCCACUGGGAGAGGUGUACAGCCAAGCCUGCUUCUAACUUCCCUGCACAGUAGUGUGCAUUUGAAAACUUGUUCUCUGACCUCUGUGCCUUUGCAGAAACUUUCCUUAAGAAUGUGAGAAUUGCUCUGAAGUGUUGCUGGGUCAGUCGUGACUUUGUUUCAAGGAGUCACGUAGACAGCACGGAAGGGCCCUUAAGAGAAUGGAAAAUCUUUCCUCUGAUCUCAAGUAAGAUCUUAUGCCUGCUCAAAGCCAAGAGAGAUCAAACAUUCUCUAAGUUCACAUGGCAAGAAAAGGACAUGAUCAAAGCUAAAGCAAACUCAGGAUUGACCAAAAAAAAUCUAGGACAUUUGGCCCCUUGCGUUGUACAGUAAUAUUGGCAUUAGACUCCCAUCUCCUCAAAAGCCAGAGGAGCUUCUCACAAUAGUUACACCUCUUCACUGCUCUUGCUACAGACCAGUUACAUUCAGCUGCUUCGCAAAGUCUUAGUGAUAAGGUCAUGAACAUUAUGAUAAUGACAAGGUAAAUGCGUAUCUUUAAGCUCUGGGAGUGGCAAAAAGGCAGUGAGGAUUGUAUUCCAGGCUGGACGAGUGAUCAACCAAAAGGAGACAAGUCCUCAGAAGAGAGCAAAAGGCGAAUAAAGAGCUGGACAAAUGUCAGAGCCCCUUCCGGACAGAUAAUAAACUUUUAGCAGAAGGCCCGCCCCACCAGGAGGGCUGUGGGAGAGGCGAGCCCUGAGGGAGACAAUGGGAAAAGGCAAGGGAGAGACGGACGUUGACCUUUCCGGUCAGUGCAGUGAGGCUGAGGGAGGGUAUGAAGCAAGCUCACGUCACAGAGCAGAAGCUCAGAGGCACGGGCACAGAUCAGAAGAGCACACAGCAGGAAGCGAACACAUUAAACAGAGGAAAAGGCGGAAAACUGCAGAGCUUAGUUGAAAUUUCACCUGUUUCAUGUCCCUUCCAGAUGGCAAGUAGCAGAACAGAAAACACUGACUUAGAUGCCCAUACCUGUUCUUUGCACCUCAUAGCCGCCAUCUAUGUCUCCCUUAACUACGUUGGCUGUUCUUACCCUUAUUCCUCUCCCCGGGCAUUUGACGAGUCUGAGCCUACUCCAUUGCCUUCUCCCCACUACCUUCUUCAAGGCCUGCCUAGCUCCAUGCCUCUCCUUCUCCACUGCCAACCCCAUUUCUCAAGGUCCUCCCAGCACAGACACUCCAGUUGGCCAAACAAAAGUCUAAUUCAGCAUCAUGGUUUCUAAAGCAUUUCCCCAGGGACAGAAGUUUAUCCAAGAACCCUACUUUCACACUGAGAUACAUUUAACAACAAAAAAUCAGGGUGAAAAUUCUACCAAUAUGAUUGAAGUGUCAGCAGGCUGGGUCUGAGAGGCCCUUAGGGCUGAAAUAAGGAAUUCAUGCUAUCUUUUUAAAAAGAUGUUUGCAGGUUCACUGACUCCUGUACAGAAAAAGGAAUUUUUAGGACCCAAUAGUAUACAAGGCCAGAGAAGAGUUUAUCAGGAUGAACUCAAGAAUGGAGAAAUGAGACGCAUUAAGAGCAGGAGUUGGGUGCAUUUAAGGGAGUGUCUUCAAGAUGAAUCAUCUAGUUUGUGUAUUUUUACUGUCUCUCAGGUUGCAAGACAAGCUAUCUACACACGUAUGAGGUUGAGAUCUGCUGCCUGCUGCCAGUAUUACUGCUUCCUAAAGAUGGAGGACCCAGGCGCACGAUUUACAGGUACUGUCUGGCUUCUCCCACAAGAAUGUCAGCUUGGUGAGGCCAGGUUUGUGAAGCUGCUCCUUUGUCCUCUACUGCUGGAUCACCAGUGAUUAGAAUGGUUUUCAGCUCACGGGGCUCGGUAAAGUUUUAAUUGCAUGAAUAAAUAAAAACUACCCCAUUGUAUGGUGCAGCCACCUGCCUCGCAAGUGCAAGGUGCUGAAUUCGAUCCCCAGUACCAAACAACAACAACAACUACCCAGUUGUAUUCACACUGUCAGGCCCAAUACAAAGGUCACCUUUUGCCACCUUUAUCCUGCAGACGUUAAGCUUCCUGUAUUCCUAGGGCUCUCUGCUUCUACCUCUGCCAAAGGUGUCUUCUUUUUAGAUACAUCUCCCUGCCACCAAGGGUAUGGGAGCAUAGAAGAUAAUGAAUCCUCUGAAGAUGCUUAGUCUCAGAGAGGUUGAGAAAUGACAAGCAUUUUACACGUGGGAGACAGAGCCAGGAUUCUGCUGAACCUGAAUCCAAGGCUACUUAGCACUCUCUCCAUUACCCCCACUUGCUCUCAAAACAAACAAAAAUUAAGUAAAUAAAACACACAAUAUAAUGCAUUUCAGGCUUAAUUUCAAUCUAAUAUAUAGGAAUUCCCAAGAAUCGUGUUAAACUAAAGCAAAGAGGGAGAUGGAACAGAAAGAAAGGGAGAGAGAGAAUGGAAGGAGGAGGAAAGGAGAACAAGAAAAGAAGAAUGAAGAAAGGAUAACUUCAUCCACUUUUUCCUAACUGAUGUCCUGUCCAGAGGAUGCA